ensembl:lncRNA
UUUUCCCAUCAGAUCUUUUUGUAAAAACUAUUAAAUUUAAAAAGCUCAGCCUCCUGGCUUUGGUAAAUUGCUCUUCCUCCUGUCCGGCUUCAGAGAGGACUGCCCCCCCCUUCUCCCCUCCACGGAGUGACCCCUUUCUUCCUGUACUCCCCACCCUACAGGUGGGUUCCUCCCCGUUUUCUUUUCCCCCAAUUUUUACAAGUGGGUUCCUCCCCGUUUUCUUUUCCCCCAAUUCUACAGGUUGUUCUUCUCGUACUUGGUCUCCCCCCCCCCAACUCAAAAGUGAUUCCUCCCACCCCGUUCCCCUCUUUCACAUCCUUAGCGAAGCUUCCUGAUUAUCCCCAGCCGCCACGGCUCGGCCGCCCCUCUCCCCGCCAGCCAGGGGUUCACGCCCCGUGCUCCCCGACUCCCCUCGGUUCUGGGGAGGGGGCUCCACAGCACGGGAGGGGCGGGGCCGUUCCUCGAUGGCACGAGGGGAGGGGGAGGGGGCGGGGCCGCAAAGAGUCCGUUGGGCGCCGGCCGAAGGAGAGGUGCGGUGAGGGACCGCUCCGCAAGUAAGGGGCGUGGCUGGGGCUGAGAACCAUUUGGGGAUCACGGUGCUGGGGUGGGGUCCGCCCCGCUUUCCCUGCACGUUCAUGGUCUCCCUGGAUCCUGCCUGGCCGGCCGACAGGCAUGUCGGGAGAUGGGGAAGAGGAAGACGCCUUUGGUCCCAAGGAUGUCCUGCUCUAUUCCCCUGACGGCGGCCCCUUUGUGGAGGAGGCGGAGGGGGGCGGCUCUGGGAUGAGUUGGGCUUGGGAACCGAGCACAACCUCCUCUCAGUGGAGCCUGGAGCCCGAAGCCAACGGGAGCAAGCCCCUGGGGAUGGACUGUCAGGAGGACAGCGACCCGGUGGAGGAAGCCCUUCAAGAUUCACAGACGGUGGGCGAGGGUGCAGAUCCUGAGACCUGUAUCCUGGGCCCGGUUGGAGGGGCUCAGGAGGAGGGUGAGGACUCGCUGCUGUUUCCGGAUCUUCACAUCCAGCCUUCUCUUGCGCCCGUGGAGAGGAAAGCACAGUUCUUAGAGAAGCUUCACGUGGCUUUACACGACAUCUUAGCCGAAAACUGGGGGAAGAAGCUUGGCCAUGUGGCCCAGAGCAUCGGACUCACAGGAAAGGGGGAGAAGUCGGUGGAGGCGGCCCCUAAGCCCCGGAAGAUCCCUGGAGAUGAGCUGCCCGAGGAGAGAUCUCCAGAACCCGACCAAGGACUCCCCAUCAACCAUGUGGAGAGCCCCCCUGAGAUGAGAUGGCUCACCCCAGUGGCUUUUCCCGAGUGUCUCUCUGAGGUGUGUGAACAGGGCAUCUUCUCUCGCCUGGCCCUGGAGCAGGAGACCCCUGUGGACUGUACCCUGGACAAUUGUGAGGAGACAAAGGAAGGAGAACAGAUGAAAAGACAACAGCCCGACACUUCACCUUCUUCCCCUAGCUUGGCCCUGGUGAGGGCAAAUAAAAAAAGCAGGCUGUCGACCACCUCCAGAGAGGUGAGGAAGAGGAAAAACCUCCGGGAAGAAGAAUCCUGGAAGAGAAACGAAAGCGGCCGAGCAGGGGGGGCGGACCCCAAGACUCCAGCAAGCCCCUUUCCAAAGAGCAGUCAGGAGACUUGUGGACCAGUGGGAGACGUUGCUGGGACCUCCCCAACCGCUGAAAGAGAGCGUAAGCAAAUGGGAAAGACCCAGCCAUGGACCUGCUCGCAGAAAGCCUCUUCUCUGCAUGAUGCUCUCUUGCCCAACAGGGCUGAAAGUGGGGAGGCCCCUGGUCGCACUCCCAUCAAGGGUCAGAGAGGCACAGUGACUGCUAUGUUAGUUGUGGAGGCCCUGGGUCUUCCUGACGGGGCAGCCAUGUCCAGUGUAAUGUCAGCCUCUAAGACUUCCUGCAAAAGUCCGCACCCCUGCCCACCGGCUGUCCCCUUGGAUUCCCUGCCUUUGACGUCCUCCUCCAGAUUAUCAGAGGAAGUCUCUGGAGAAAAUCAAAAUCUUGGUUUUGCUAUGGUGCCCAAGGCCGUCACUGGCAAUGACGAUGCUUACCUUUCAGACAUUGUCAAGGAACUGGAGUCUGCUGCUGGCAAAGGUGUUGGGGUUGCCUCUGGUGCCAACAGGGGAGAGAUGCUGGGAUCUCCUGCUAGGCCCCAAGGGCUCUCCUCCACAAACAAGCCCUGUGGCCAGCCCGACCUGGAUUUCCCACUAGCCAACUCUUCUUCAAAGGGGCCUGUGGCUGGGGGAGCCAGUUUGGACCCUGAGAAGGCGUCUGAGUCAAGUAAGAGACCCUUGAAACAUCGUAGGAACAGGUCCAGAGCCGCAGAGAAGCCAAAGAGGGGAGUGCUGUCCUCUGCCCAGGAGUGGGGCAGGAACGGAGGAUCCAGAGCGGAUGAUGUGGGAGGUCAGGAACCAGGCCCAGUAAGCAAAAGCAGAGAGGAGGAAGAGCGGACAUUGCCGCGUCUGCCAAAUGGCGUGAAGCUUGUCUGUUACUUAGGGUCUGGGUCGUCAGUCAGACUCCUGGGGGCAGUCAGCCAAGCUUGGGAACCCAAACAGCCCCCACAGUUGGAAGAACUGGAGGACCUCUCGAUAGCCAGCUCAGAGACACCUUCCCAGGGAUCCCAGCUUUCCUCCGCUCGGGCCAGGGGUUCACACCAGGAAAAAGCGCCCGGCAACAGCAGCGCAUUUGAGAGCAGCUUCCACUUCUCCAGCAUCCCUGGGAAGUGACUCACCCAGGACCACCCAGCUGAGAAGUGCCCAAGCAGAGAUGGCCCUGAGGGCAGUGCGCUUCGCUGUGUCUCGCUGCAGUCACAGGAGGAUGCUGUCCCUCGAACUCCUGGCCACAUCGAUCCCUACGUGGCCCGAGGCAGGGCAGGGAUCUGGGCUUAAGGCGGCUUCAGGAGGCUUGUUCUUGGGAAAAGCCAGACUCUGUGGGGGGGGGGGGGGGGCAGUGGGGGGCAGAGGAAGCACUGACUGUGUGCCAGCCAGCCAUACAGAUAAAAUUUCCAUUGUCCCCAGGUUCUGUGCAGCCAUUGCUUUUUGGGGAAAUGUCCCUCAGGUUUUGUGGAACUGAUUCUGCCUGGGAUUAGUGCCUUUCAUCAGAACUGUAACAAAAAUUCUUUACCUGGGGCAUAAACAUUUAGGGGAAGUGGUAACACAGAGCACAGGGAGCAGGAGAGGGGGUGACCCCUAUGGGUUUGGGGGAAGGUGUGCUCCAAGAGCCUCAGAUUCUGGUCCCCGGAGGUUUCGGUUCUGGGUUGGCUGGCGGGAUUCUGGGUGUGUUCUCUGGAGGCAGUUGCAAGGUUUUGGCUGGGCUUGUGGCCAGAGCCAGAGAUCAGUUUACUGUGUCUGCAAUGCCCAGGAAGUCAGUUCUCCAUCAAGGGAACUGGGAAAGAGAGUCUGGGUUCAGCUCCUCUCGCUGAUGUGCAGGGCCACGCCUGACUGAUCAGCAAGCCAAUUUCGAGUCUGUCUGCUCGUCCGUAUCAGGGGCGAAUUUGGAGUUGGCAAAGCUGCCCAUCGGAGCUGCCCCCAGGGAUGGCCUUUCCCUCUGCUUGGGCUUGUCAAGUCACGGGAGGUAAACAGUGAAGCUCUGGGGGCCCGAGACCACUGGAGGGGAACAGGGGAGGCAGCAAAGCUGCUUGCACAGCCCGGACCCCGCUCAGAAUUGUGACCAAAGGCCGUAUGAGGUCUCCCAGUGCCAGGCACCUGAUAAAUGCUGGUUGAUUGAUUUGAUUGCUUGAAUACUUUUUCUUGGGCUCAUUCAUUCAUUACCUCAUUUAUAGAGCAAAGCUAACCACAAUGAGGUUUUUAAAUGGUAUUUUGUUCUCUCAAUGAACAAAAAUUUACCUCUCCCAUUUAUCUCCCCCUUAAUUUUUUUUCACAGUGAGAUCUUUAAAAUAAAUUAUAAAGUCAGAAUGAGUUUCUGAGGGGAAAAAGGGGUCAUGUUUGGGGGCUGAUUUCACAGGAAGAAAUCAUCAGAAGAAUAUGGGAAAAACAGCACAAGGUGAAGACAAAAGCUCUGGAAGAGUUGGGAGAAUAGGGCUCCACUCUCAGCUCUAACAAGUAGUAGUUGUGUCUGAGUCUGGUCCUGGUCUCCCAAUAGAGAUGGCACAGUCUAGGGGGAAGAAAGCCAGUUGGCUUUGGAACCAGGAGGCUCUGGGUUCAAGUCCUGAUCCUUGGAAGUCCUUUACCUUCUCAUUGCCUCAUGCAAGUUUUCCUAACUCUUAAGUGACAAAACUAGUACUUAUCUGCCU